rnacentral:rRNA from 1 species
AUACGGAGGAUGCGAGCGUUAUCCGGAUUUAUUGGGUUUAAAGGGUGCGUAGGCUGUGCGUUAAGUCAGGGGUGAAAUGCCGUCGCUCAACGACGGAGCUGCCCUUGAUACUGGCGUGCUGGAGUACGGAUGCCGUUGGAGGAAUGAGUGGUGUAGCGGUGAAAUGCUUAGAUAUCACUCAGAACACCGAUUGCGAAGGCAUCUGACGAAUCCGUCACUGACGCUGAGGCACGAAAGCGUGGGGAUAGAACAGGAUUAGAUACCCUGGUAUUCCACGCCGUAAACGAUGAUGACUAACCGUCGGCGAUAGACAGCCGGUGGCCAAGCGAAAGCGAUAAGUCACCCACCUGGGGAGUACGUCGGCAACGAUGAAACUCAAAGGAAUUGACGGGG